GUAAGGAAUAUUGGUCAAUGGAGGCAACUCUGAACCAGCCAUGCCGCGUGCAGGAAGACGGCCCUCUGGGUUGUAAACUGCUUUUAUCCGGGAAUAAACCUGCCUUCGUGAAGGUAGCUGAAUGUACCGGAAGAAUAAGGAUCGGCUAACUCCGUGCCAGCAGCCGCGGUAAUACGGAGGAUCCAAGCGUUAUCCGGAUUUAUUGGGUUUAAAGGGUGCGUAGGCGGCCUGUUAAGUCAGGGGUGAAAGACGGUGGCUCAACCAUCGCAGUGCCCUUGAUACUGAUGGGCUUGAAUGGACUAGAGGUAGGCGGAAUGUGACAAGUAGCGGUGAAAUGCAUAGAUAUGUCACAGAACACCGAUUGCGAAGGCAGCUUACUAUGGUCCUAUUGACGCUGAGGCACGAAAGCGUGGGGAUCGAACAGGAUUAGAAACCCUGGUAGUCC
rnacentral:rRNA from 1 species